rnacentral:rRNA from 1 species
CUACGGGAGGCUCCAGUGAGGAAUAUUGCACAAUGGGGGGAACCCUGAUGCAGCAACGCCGCGUGGAGGAUGACGCAUUUCGGUGUGUAAACUCCUUUUAUAUGUCAAGAAAAUGACGGUAGCAUAUGAAUAAGCACCGGCUAACUCCGUGCCAGCAGCCGCGGUAAUACGGAGGGUGCAAGCGUUACUCGGAAUCACUGGGCGUAAAGGACGCGUAGGCGGGCUUGUAAGUCAGGUGUGAAAUCCUACAGCUUAACUGUAGUACUGCACUUGAAACUACGAGCCUAGAGUAUGGGAGGGGGAGAUGGAAUUAGUGGUGUAGGGGUAAAAUCCGUAGAUAUCACUAGGAAUACCUAAAGCGAAGGCGAUCUCCUGGAACAUAACUGACGCUAAGGCGUGAAAGCGUGGGGAGCAAACAGGAUUAGAUACCCCAGUAGUC